UAUGGCAAGAGGGUCAAACUCACCCUAUGGCAAGAGGGUCAAACUCUUCAGCGUGUCAUUCAAGGCAUUCUGUGAUGUCACCUGCUCUCCAGCUUUCUCUCCUGCCGCCCUUGGCUCUCCCACCACCAACCAAACGGAGCCAUUUCUCAUUCCUCACGGCUGUCUUGGUCCUUCUCCUUCCAAUGUCCUUUCCUCUAAUUUCGACAGGCUCCCAUCCUGCCUACCCGCCUCAGGAUCCCUCGAAAGCCCUUUCUCCCCAAGGAACCAUGCCUACCCGCUCGGUCAGAAUUGAACUCUUCCUUUUCUGAGUUUCAAGAAGACUUGAUCAGCACUUCUGUCACAGGAAAUGCCAUUUUCACUCUCGUGUUGAAACGACCUCUAUGCAUAUGCCAUCUCGCUCCUCGUGGGUUUUCGGUUUCUCUACGGCCUGGGUCAUGGUCAGCUUUCUUCCUCCUCGGCAUGUAACCUUGCAUCUAGAAGUUCAACCUGCGUCUUACUCUUCAAAGCAGCUGGACCUGGUGGUGGUAACAGCCCCUCUCAGACCUUCCCACAAUGAUCCUCAGGUUUUCAGAAGAACUGAAAUAUUUUCAUGGCCCUAAACCCUGUGCCUGAUACGGAGGCCAAGUCUGGGGCCCAGGUGUCAGAAGAGGAAACGGAUGGUCAGAGAACGAGCUCUCAGUGGAGAAGGGACGGGGCUGGGACCCGAGCCCGGGCCAAGUGUGAAAGUAGUUCGAGACGUCUUCCCGUCUGCCCGGAGCCCAGAGCCCGCGGCUCCAGCCAGGUUGUGCUCCCGGAUCAAUUCCGGCCGCCCUCUGCGCCCCGCCCCUCCGUCCAGGCCCC